ACUGUCCUGAUCUCACGGCCGGCAGCCUGGAGCCCCUCACCAGGUGCCCUGAGCUGCGGGGUCUCACCCUGUCCGGCGGCGUCCCUGACACCGUGAGCCUGGAGCCCCUCACCAGGUGCCGUGGGCUGCAGUAUCUCACCCUGUCCGGCGGUGACCCUGACGCCGUGCUAGACAGUCUCAGCGGCUGCCCCGGGCUGAAGUACCUUACACUGGGGGACCGCCAGCGGCCGGCAGAGACGGCCUUCACAGCAGCAGGGGUCAGCAGACUGGUCAAGUCGUGUCGGACGCUGCUUGGUCUGGCCCUUCGCUGCACGGCAGACACCGGCCGGGCCGUGCUGACCGCCCUGAAGGAGGCGGACCUGGGCCGGCGAAGUUAUGUCUGGCCCCGUACCAUCGAUCUCAUUGUCCCCGAGGAGCUGUUCCGUCAGCUGAAGAGACAGGAAGGCGAUGGGGUCAGAGUGUGGAAGUGGCCGGACUGAUGCGCUACUACCGCCCGUGCAGUGAUGAGCUGACUGCAGAGAGGCCGAGCCAGUCGGCCGGGGCCGCCAGCUGACUGCUGCCGUGUGUGCUGCACCAGCCGGCACUGAGAGCGGCGCCGGUCAGCCGGCACACGGCCCCGGUGUCCGCUCUAGUGUAGUCAUCUAGUUGUAGUAGUUGUAGUGUAGAUGUAGUAGUAGCACACGGAUGUGAUGUAGUGGGUAAUUACAGGGCGGGUAUUGUGGGUAAUUGGACGGUAGAUGUGAUGUAGUGGGUAAUUACCGAGCGGGUAGGUAUUGUGGGUAAUUGGACAGUGAAAAGUGAUGUAGUGGGUAAUUACCGGGCGGGUACUGUGGGUAAUUGGACGGGAGAUGUGAUGUAGUGGGUAAUUACCGGGCGGGUAUUGUGGGUAAUUGGACAGUGAAAAGUGAUGUGCUGGAGAGACUACCGAUCGUGGCAUUACGCUAUUCUGUAUGUAGAACACACGUCUCUGACGGUCCGACUCGGUUCACCGCGCCUGGUCCCGGCGGCACGGCCGGCCUCGGUCACGUGACCGUCCCCCCGGUGGAGUCGGACUGCUCGGUCACGUGACCGCUCCCCCCGGGUCUGGCUGCACCUCGGCUCGGCGGUGCUGAGCGCCGUGCUGAGCGUGUUGUGACACGUCCCACACGGACAGCUCUACUCGACUACUGGCUAGCUGCCGUCCGAGCUGGCAGUAUACACGCGGUGCCAGUUCAGACGGCGGCCGGCCGCGCCGCGCCCGCCCGCUCCGGUCCCGGCCGGCGGCCGUCACCCGGCCCGGGGCGGGGACCGGUCCGUCAGCUGACCAUUGGUCAGUCAGCUGAUUGGUCCGUCAGCUGACCAUUGAUCAGUCAGCUGACCAUUGGUCAGUCAGCUGAUUGGUCCGUCAGCUGAUUGGUCAGUCAGCUGAUUGGUCAGUCAGCUGACCAUUGGUCAGUCAGCUGAUUUGUCAGUCAGAUUGGUCAGUCAGAUGUCUAUUAAAUACAUGAGAGGAGACGCUUCAGCUGUACCAUCUGUAGCUUAGGGCAAUUAGUUACCGGGCGAGUAUUGUGGGUAAUUGGAUGAACUGCUGCGUUGUAGACGUAGUGGGUAAUUACCGGUCGGGUGUUGUGGAUAAUGUAACCCUGGGUAUGCUAUAGCCGGCUAUUCGACGGUCGGAUAUAGUCAGCUGGAUGCUACUGAAUUGUGUAGAGCUCUGACGGCACCGGUCAUAACGAGUGUCCUCGCGUCUGUCCGACUCGGUUCACGGAAGCACGCCGUCACGGCCCGGGUGUGUGCCGCCAUGUUUGGUGUCCUCUGCUUCGUACAGGGGGGUAAUUGGGACUACCGACCGAUUGGGAGUCGGAGUCGGAGUCCGUGUCGAUCAAGCUGCCUUGACUCCGACUCCGGAACGGCUUUUUAGAUUUUAGUUAUCACUUGGCCAUGCUACUGAUAAUCGGCUGCGCUUUGACUAAUACAUUUUACACA